rnacentral:rRNA from 1 species
ACUCCUACGGGAGGCAGCAGUGGGGAAUAUUGCACAAUGGGGGAAACCCUGAUGCAGCCAUGCCGCGUGUGUGAAGAAGGCCUUCGGUUGUAAAGCACUUUCAGUAGGGAGGAAGGUAGUGUAGUUAACACCUGCAUUAUUUGUACGUUACCUACAGAAGAAGCACCGGCUAACUCCGUGCCAGCAGCCGCGGUAAGUACGGAGGGUGCGAGCGUUAAUCGGAAUUACUGGGCGUAAAGCGCAUGCAGGCGGCCUGUUAAGUCAGAUGUGAAAGCCCGGGGUCUUAACCUCGGAAUUGCAUUUGAAACUGGCAGGCUAGAGUCUUGUAGAGGGGUUAGAAUUUCAGGUGUAGCGGUGAAAUGCGUAGAGAUCUGAAGG